rnacentral:rRNA from 1 species
CAAGUCGAACGGAAAGGCCCUUCGGGGUACUCGAGUGGCGAACGGGUGAGUAACACGUGGGUGAUCUGCCCUGCACUUUGGGAUAAGCCUGGGAAACUGGGUCUAAUACCGAAUAGGACUACGCGAUGCAUGUCGUGUGGUGGAAAGCUUUUGCGGUGUGGGAUGGGCCCGCGGCCUAUCAGCUUGUUGGUGAGGUUACGGCUCACCAAGGCGACGACGGGUAGCCGGCCUGAGAGGGUGACCGGCCACACUGGGACUGAGAUACGGCCCAGACUCCUACGGGAGGCAGCAGUGGGGAAUAUUGCACAAUGGGCGCAAGCCUGAUGCAGCGACGCCGCGUGAGGGAUGACGGCCUUCGGGUUGUAAACCUCUUUCGCCAGGGACGAAGCGCAAGUGACGGUACCUGGAGAAGAA